rnacentral:tRNA from 1 species
CAGAGAAUAGUUUAUUUAAAAAUUUUGGUUUUGGAGACUAAAGAAAAUGUUGAUAUUUUCUCUGA